UUUCUGGUGCAAAGCAAAUGUUGUUAAAAUGGGUAAAGUUGGAAAAAAAUUAAGCAAACAUUUUAUGAUGUUAUUUACGAAUCAGAACCUGAAAGCAUUUAUACAUUUCCACUGUUAUCUGACUUUGAUAAAGGAGAUAUGAUUUUGUUAUAAAAGGAAACACAAUGAACUGCUUGUAAGAUUGUGGUGCAAUGUAAACAAGAAGAAAUUGUGGAUGAUAAUUUUAAAUACAUUUUUGCAUUUUUC